rnacentral:rRNA from 1 species
AGUGAACGCUGGCGGUAGGCCUAACACAUGCAAGUCGAACGGCAGCACAGUAAGAGCUUGCUCUUACGGGUGGCGAGUGGCGGACGGGUGAGGAAUACAUCGGAAUCUACUUUUUCGUGGGGGAUAACGUAGGGAAACUUACGCUAAUACCGCAUACGACCUACGGGUGAAAGCAGGGGAUCUUCCGACCUUGCGCGAUUGAAUGAGCCGAUGUCGGAUUAGCUAGUUGGCGGGGUAAAGGCCCACCAAGGCGACGAUCCGUAGCUGGUCUGAGAGGAUGAUCGGCCACACUGGAACUGAGACACGGUCCAGACUCCUACGGGAGGCAGCAGUAGGGAAUAUUGGACAAUGGGCGCAAGCCUGAUCCAGCCAUACCGCGUGGGUGAAGAAGGCCUUCGGGUUGUAAAGCCCUUUUGUUGGGAAAGAAAAGCAGCAGGUUAAUACCCCGCUGUUCUGACGGUACCCAAAGAAUAAGCACCGGCUAACUUCGUG